UAAAAUUAACUCAUUACUUUGAUCAUAUGCUGGUGUAGGUUGCAUAUUUUAAAAUUACAUUUUCCAAAUGGCCCAUCUCAUUUUUCAUACAAAUGAUAUAUUUCAACUCCAUGUGAAUUUUAAGUAGAAAAUUCUGUUGUUCUACAAAUGGAAAGAAAUGGACUCACAUUUCACAGAAUACAUUAAUGAAGAAGGAGGCAGACACACUUUCUCCCAAUGACAUCAAAAGGAAGAUAGAGACAUCGAGCAGAAAACUUUUUUUUAGUAGAAGGAUAUUUGAGUUUUCUUCUAUAAGUUGAUCUCUUGAGAUCAGUUGGGGGAAAAAGAAAACAUUAUUCUUAUGCCCUGUUUCUGGAGUGAGAUGAAGAACAGAAUUUCUUUCCUGAAGAUUUAAUCUGGGUCAGUUUAAACGCUGGCCCAGGCUAGCUCCUUGGGGAGGUUUCUCCUGAAAGCCCCACAAGAGCUCCUUGAGUCCAGAGGUGGGGGAGGAAAAGGGCCCCACUCUAUAAACAGAGCCUCAGGAUGACAAUCCAAUCAGCCCAGAAACUAGCCGGGCCCUCACUUAAAUUUAAUGUCUCUGUGUUUGCACUGAUAGUGCUAACAAGCCAGCCCAGGCCCAUCAGCAUCAGGAAAUUUCUUUUAAUUACACAAUGAGAGCACUGUGCAAACCCCUCCACACUGCAGGUCGGUGCCACAUCACACAGGGACAAGGGGAGGCUCGAGGGUGGAGGCUGCUUUUUGCUGAAGAGCUGAAGAUUAUCUGUGGGAAUUCUUUCAAAGCAGCAGAGGUGAUUAAAAUAUAUUUAGCACUCAUUUCUCUCCUGCUUUCCUCCUUCAUCCUCACAAAUAUCACUGGAAGAGGAACAAUGCAUCAUUAAUAUCCUUGAUCCUCCAUUCCGAAUAAGGGGAGGAAGUCUUCAUUUGCACAAGCUGUAGAGGCAGGGAGAAGGACCCCACACUGAGGUGUCCUAUUCAGGGUCAUGUAAAAAACCAAGCCAGGCAAUCAGCUCCAUCUACUUCAGGCUCUAAAUAGAGUUUUUCUUUUGGGAGCAUGGUAGAGGGGGUUCUCUGAAUUUUAUGAUGCUGGUUUGUUUUUGUUUUGCUUUGAUAGGUUUGCUUUUUUGAAUUUUUUUUCUAUAUCAAUUCUGAUUUGUUAUGUUUUUUAAAAAAAUUUUAAUAAACAUUUGACUGAUCUGAGGUUGUUGAAGUGUGAACUGGGAUAAGAACAAAAAAGCAAUAUGUUAUUUUAGGAAGGUAAGAAAAGAAAAAUUAAGUGGCAGGAUUUUUUUUUAAUUCUAGCAGCCCUCAAGAGUUUGUAUCAAGCUAUAUUGGGGGUUGGUGGGAGAGGAGGGACAGGGAGAGAGAGGAGGGGGAGCAAGAGGAGGGAGAGAGAAUGUUCAUACAUAUCAGAUUUCGGCUAAUGGCUCCCCUGCUAACAGUGGGAAGCAAAAACUUGAAGUAGUCAGUGUAAGGUUUGGAGGUUCAAGCUUCAGUUUUCACAAAAAUGCCAACUUACUCCAAGAAAAGAUUCCUUAGGCCAGAGCAGACAGAGCACCUCUACACUAACAUGAAUAUGAUAUGCUUUGAGGGACCCAAAGGAAAAAGGUCCCACCCUUAGGUCAAACUUUAAAAAUGCCAUAUUCAUAACACAAAAAACUCCAGCCUAUUGGAAUGCUGGCUACAUCACAAUAUCACAGUUUCCAUUUAUUCGAAAUUACCAUUUAUUAGAAAUUAACCAUCCCCCCUAUACACACACACACACACACACACACACCCUGAAAGGGCUUUCCUUGUCUUAAGCCUCUGUGUAUGAAACACUCUGGAACCCACCGGCCUAGGUGUUAGAACAGCACCGAAGUUGCCAGGGCCAGGGGUCCAGCCAUCCUGACCUCUGCUAGCCACCCUGCAAGGGCCGAUGUUCCCACGCAGGAGGCCCCAGGGAGGUGGUACUGAGCAACCGGCCACACCCAAGGAAACAGCUCAGAGCUCAACUUCCUCCUGAAUUAGGCCACACCCGAGGCCUCCCGGGUCUCAUCCACGCCUCUGGGUCCAUCACUAAACAGAAGGCACAAUCCCACUAACUCUUACUCCAUCGCUGCUCAUGAAACUCCUGCCAGUAAGGACUGGGUCAAGCACCUGAAAACCAGAGCUCGUCCGUGGCUUCACUUGUUUUGGACUAAGGAGCUGAGGAGCGUGCAAGACUGUACUUGGAGAAUCUGUUUCUUGCUGCCAUUUCGUCACUGAACACUAUUUUUUUUCUCCUUCUUUUUUUGUAAGAAAAGGAGAACACAUAAAACCCCACCAGAACAAACUCCACUCGGCCCUGAAAGUAUUUACAAUCACGGCCCUGAAAGUACUGAAAGUAUUUACAAUCACGUUACAGUUCAUUCACUGCUGCAGAACCUCUCUCCAGCGAUCAAGGUCGAAGGGAGCCGACGUCGCCCUCUAUCGGCUCCCUGCUGCACUAGAAGGAUCGGGAAGAUGGAGGCUCCUGAAGAGCUGUAGAAGCGCAUCCUAGGCAGAAGCCCAGCAGACAGCAAAGGGCCUGGUUUGUUCAAGGAACUGGAGGGCAAGAAAAUCAGGAGCCAAUUCAUGCAGGGCACAGUUAGCCAAGGCAGGAGGCAAUCAUGCUCACCCUCUUCCACAGCCGGACUCACUCAGGAGGCCCUUCAUCUUCAUGUUCCCCACAUAGCAGAGGGGAGGGCAGAAGAUGAGAGGGAGGAGAGAGCAGAGCCAAGAGCCUCCUUUUCUCCCACUGUGCCCCUCCUAUGUGUGGCUCUGGACACCAGGAACCACCCAAGGACAGUGGGACUCCUCGAAAAGAUAAUUGCUCAUGAGGGAUCCAAGAGCAAGGCUUGUUACAUCCUAUAACCUUCACACAAAAUAUUGACUGAGAAUCCUCCAUGUGCCAAGUACUGUUCAAAAACACUGGGAACCCAGCAGGGAUGAGCCACAAGUUUCCUUGUCUUUACGAAGCUUUCAUUCUGAGGGAGUGGAGAGAGACAAGCAAUAAACAACCAAUCAAAACAAAGAUGACUCCUCUGAGUGUUGUGAUAUGCGGGUCAAGGAGGAUGGCUCCCAGGAUGUGACCUCAGAGCAGAAGCCUGGAGGCUUGCCAGCAGCGGGAAGAGCAGCGGCAGGGCACUGCAGGCAGAGUUCUGGAUGUCAGAGGUCCAACUUGAGUCUCACUGGGCUGAUGUCAAGAAGCCUGCAGAGCUGCUUUCUUCCUGGAGGCUCUAGGAGAGAUUCCGUUUUCCUGCCUUUGCCAGCUUCUAGCGGCCGCCUGUAUUCCUUGGCUCGCAUGACCCCUCUGAUACACAUCAGCAUCGUGAUGCUCCAGAGGGGAGGCAGUCCAUGAAAUGGUCUGAUUGCUGUAGAAUUCUUUUCAUGUAGCCAUCCACCCCAUUGUGAAAGAAGCAGCUGGAUAUCCAAGCAUCUUCCAAUACUCAGGCUUCAAGGUCCAAUAAUGUCCACUCCUCCCCAGGAAAAGCUGGCAUGC
rnacentral:lncRNA from 1 species